rnacentral:rRNA from 1 species
CCCCUCUCGGGUUACCGAAUUCAGACAAACUCCGAAUGCCAAUUAAUUUAACUUGGGAGUCAGAACAUGGGUGAUAAGGUCCGUGUUCGAAAGGGAAACAGCCCAGACCACCAGCUAAGGUCCCAAAAUAUAUGUUAAGUGGAAAAGGAUGUGGCGUUGCCCAGACAACUAGGAUGUUGGCUUAGAAGCAGCCAUCAUUUAAAGAGUGCGUAAUAGCUCACUAGUCGAGUGACACUGCGCCGAAAAUGUACCGGGGCUAAACAUAUUACCGAAGCUGUGGAUUGUCCUUUGGACAAUGGUAGGAGAGCGUUCUAAGGGCGUUGAAGCAUGAUCGUAAGGACAUGUGGAGCGCUUAGAAGUGAGAAUGCCGGUGUGAGUAGCGAAAGACGGGUGAGAAUCCCGUCCACCGAUUGACUAAGGUUUCCAGAGGAAGGCUCGUCCGCUCUGGGUUAGUCGGGUCCUAAGCUGAGGCCGACAGGCGUAGGCGAUGGAUAACAGGUUGAUAUUCCUGUACCACCUAUAAUCGUUUUAAUCGAUGGGGGGACGCAGUAGGAUAGGCGAAGCGUGCGAUUGGAUUGCACGUCUAAGCAGUAAGGCUGAGUAUUAGGCAAAUCCGGUACUCGUUAAGGCUGAGCUGUGAUGGGGAGAAGACAUUGAGUCUUCGAGUCGUUGAUUUCACACUGCCGAGAAAAGCCUCUAGAUAGAAAAUAGGUGCCCGUACCGCAAACCGACACAGGUAGUCAAGAUGAGAAUUCUAAGGUGAGCGAGCGAACUCUCGUUAAGGAACUCGGCAAAAUGACCCCGUAACUUCGGGAGAAGGGGUGCUCUUUAGGGUUAACGCCCAGAAGAGCCGCAGUGAAUAGGCCCAAGCGACUGUUUAUCAAAAACACAGGUCUCUGCUAAACCGUAAGGUGAUGUAUAGGGGCUGACGCCUGCCCGGUGCUGGAAGGUUAAGAGGAGUGGUUAGCUUCUGCGAAGCUACGAAUCGAAGCCCCAGUAAACGGCGGCCGUAACUAUAACGGUCCUAAGGUAGCGAAAUUCCUUGUCGGGUAAGUUCCGACCCGCACGAAAGGCGUAACGAUUUGGGCACUGUCUCAACGAGAGACUCGGUGAAAUCAUAGUACCUGUGAAGAUGCAGGUUACCCGCGACAGGACGGAAAGACCCCGUGGAGCUUUACUGUAGCCUGAUAUUGAAAUUCGGCACAGCUUGUACAGGAUAGGUAGGAGCCUUUGAAACGUGAGCGCUAGCUUACGUGGAGGCGCUGGUGGGAUACUACCCUAGCUGUGUUGGCUUUCUAACCCGCACCACUUAUCGUGGUGGGAGACAGUGUCAGGCGGGCAGUUUGACUGGGGCGGUCGCCUCCUAAAAGGUAACGGAGGCGCUCAAAGGUUCCCUCAGAAUGGUUGGAAAUCAUUCAUAGAGUGUAAAGGCAUAAGGGAGCUUGACUGCGAGACCUACAAGUCGAGCAGGGUCGAAAGACGGACUUAGUGAUCCGGUGGUUCCGCAUGGAAGGGCCAUCGCUCAACGGAUAAAAGCUACCCCGGGGAUAACAGGCUUAUCUCCCCCAAGAGUUCACAUCGACGGGGAGGUUUGGCACCUCGAUGUCGGCUCAUCGCAUCCUGGGGCUGUAGUCGGUCCCAAGGGUUGGGCUGUUCGCCCAUUAAAGCGGUACGCGAGCUGGGUUCAGAACGUCGUGAGACAGUUCGGUCCCUAUCCGUCGUGGGCGUAGGAAAUUUGAGAGGAGCUGUCCUUAGUACGAGAGGACCGGGAUGGACAUACCUCUGGUGUACCAGUUGUCGUGCCAACGGCAUAGCUGGGUAGCUAUGUGUGGACGGGAUAAGUGCUGAAAGCAUCUAAGCAUGAAGCCCCCCUCAAGAUGAGAUUUCCCAACUUCGGUUAUAAGAUCCCUCAAAGAUGAUGAGGUUAAUAGGUUCGAGGUGGAAGCAUGGUGACAUGUGGAGCUGACGAAUACUAAUCGAUCGAAGACUUAAUCAA